rnacentral:rRNA from 1 species
GACAUCCAGAGAAUUUAGCAGAGAUGCUUUAGUGCCUUCGGGAACUCUGAGACAGGUGCNGUUCAUGGCUGUCGUCAGCUCGUGUUGUGAAAUGUUGGGUUAACGUCCGCAACGAGCGCAACCCUUAUCCUUUGUUGCCAGCACGUAAUGGUGGGAACUCAAAGGAGACUGCCGGUGAUAAACCGGAGGAAGGUGGGGAUGACGUCAAGUCAUCAUGGCCCUUACGAGUAGGGCUACACACGUGCUACAAUGGCGUAUACAAAGAGAAGCGACCUCGCGAGAGCAAGCGGACCUCAUAAAGUGCGUCGUAGUCCGGAUUGGAGUCUGCAACUCGACUCCAUGAAGUCGGAAUCGCUAGUAAUCGUAAAUCAGAAUGUUACGGUGAAUACGUUCCCGGGCCUUGUACACACCGCCCGUCACACCAUGGGAGUGGGUUGCAAAAGAAGUAGAUAGCUUAACCUUCGGGAGGGCGUUUACCACUUUGUGAUUCAUGACUGGGGUGAAGUCGUAACAAGGUAAGCGUAGUGCU